rnacentral:rRNA from 1 species
GGGGUAAUGGCCUACCAAGGCGACGACGGGUAGCCGACCUGAGAGGGUGACCGGCCACACUGGGACUGAGACACGGCCCAGACUCCUACGGGAGGCAGCAGUGGGGAAUAUUGCACAAUGGGCGCAAGCCUGAUGCAGCGACGCCGCGUGAGGGAUGACGGCCUUCGGGUUGUAAACCUCUUUCAGCAGGGACGAAGCGUGAGUGACGGUACCUGCAGAAGAAGCACCGGCUAACUACGUGCCAGCAGCCGCGGUAAUACGUAGGGUGCGAGCGUUGUCCGGAUUUACUGGGCGUAAAGAGCUCGUAGGCGGUCUGUCGCGUCGUUUGUGAAAACCCGGGGCUCAACUUCGGGCUUGCAGGCGAUACGGGCAGACUUGAGUGUUUCAGGGGAGACUGGAAUUCCUGGUGUAGCGGUGAAAUGCGCAGAUAUCAGGAGGAACACCGGUGGCGAAGGCGGGUCUCUGGGCAACAACUGACGCUGAGGAACGAAAGCGUGGGUAGCAAACAGGAUUAGAUACCCUGGUAGUCCACGCCGUAAACGGUGGGCGCU